CCCACGGGCUUCUACACACAGCAAAGUCAGAGCUGGGAAAAGCCAGAACCCAACUGAUCAAAGGUCAGCCUGGAAGACCAAAAAUUUAUACUGCAUUUUGUCAUAGGCUGUGGCUGCUAUCUUCAUUCAGGAAGGUAGACAGACUCAAAGCUUACAGACAACGUGGUAGAUCUGCUUUGGAGCCAGGCAGUGGGCACUGUGCACAGCCAACUGUCAGUGCAGCAGCAGCCUACCUGUCUCAAGGAACCACAGCGACUGCCAAGGAUCUGCCCUUCCUGAAGCAGAGAAAAAGCCCCAGGGCAAGAGCCUCCUCAACAGCAAAAAGAUGCACUCAACAAGGAGCAGACAGUGUUCUAAGAGAAAGAAUGGGGAGAAGUGCAACCUGCAGAAUGCUGCUGGAAAGGGAUUUGGGAGCCUGUGCUUCACCUCCAAAACAAAUUAGCUGCUAGAAGUACAGUGUACAUACACUAAAAAUAAAUCAAAGAGACAAAAGAGAAGACAGAUCUAUUUCUUUUGGGCCGCAGAAUCCUGAUAACUCCGUACCAGGAUUAAGUUUCAGUGGGAGUUAAUACAAAUCUUCAGUUUUGAGUUGAUCAAGGGUUAAUCCAUGCAACAACAAACCCCAAAGCGUUUAAUUAAGGCUGCCCUGGGAAACUUAUCUCCCCCUGGGCUGAAUACAUGCAUUUGGGAGCACGGUAACAACCACUUGUUCUGCCUCUGCGUACGGUAGCCAGAGGAUCUGGAACACAAAAUGGAUAAAAAUACAAUGUGAGCUGGCCCUGCAAAUAGGCACGAUGGGCUAUGACUGCUUCUUUAAGACAUUUAAACUCUACUUCUGCUCCUCUGCAGUCAUCAACAUGGAACUCCGCACCAGCAUUCCCGCAGAACGGACUUUCUCCACAUCCAUCUGCAGAGGACACCAAGAUAACCACAGUUUGGGCAGCAAUUCCAGCUGUCAUUUUACGAGUAAGCAGCAACUUCACGGCUCCGCUGAAGCGGCGCGGCCGUGGUGCUGAAAAGGCGUGCCGAAGCACUCACGGACCGCUCUGCAGGCUGCGGAGAGAUCGGUGCUCGCCCUGCGGCAGAGGGGCGUGCGUGAUGCUGAG